CGUAAAGCUGUCGCUAUGGGGAUCGGCCCCCGCGGUGCAUUAGCUAGUUGGUAAGGUAAAGGCUUACCAAGGCGAUGAUGCAUAGCCCGAGUUGAGAGACUGAUCGGCCACAUUGGGGACUGAGACACGGCCCAAACUCCUACGGGGAGGCAGCAGUAGGGAAUCUUCCACAAUGGACGCAAGUCUGAUGGAGCAACGCCGCGUGAGUGAAGAAGGUUUUCGGAUCGUAAAAGCUCUGUUGUUGGUGAAGAAGGAUAGAGGUAGUAACUGGCCUUUAUUUGACGGUAAUCAACCAGAAAGUCACGGCUAACUACGUGCCAGCAGCCGCGGUAAU
rnacentral:rRNA from 1 species